GUGGGGAAUCUUAGACAAUGGGCGCAAGCCUGAUCUAGCCAUGCCGCGUGAGCGAUGAAGGCCUUAGGGUUGUAAAGCUCUUUCGUGGGGGAAGAUAAUGACUGUACCCCAAGAAGAAGCCCCGACUAACUCCGUGCCAGCAGCCGCGGUAAUACGGAGGGGGCUAGCGUUGUUCGGAAUUACUGGGCGUAAAGCGCACGUAGGCGGACUGGAAAGUCAGGGGUGAAAUCCCGGGGCUCAACCCCGGAACUGCCUUUGAAACUCCCAGUCUUGAGUUAGAGAGAGGUGAGUGGAAUUCCGAGUGUAGAGGUGAAAUUCGUAGAUAUUCGGAGGAACACCAGUGGCGAAGGCGGCUCACUGGCUCGAUACUGACGCUAAGGUGCGAAAGCGUGGGGAGCAAACAGGAUUAGAUACCCCUGUAGUCC
rnacentral:rRNA from 1 species